rnacentral:rRNA from 1 species
UGGGGAAUAUUGGCACAAUGGGCGAAAGGCCUGAAUGCAGCAACGCCGCGUGCGGGAUGACGGGCCUUCGGGCUUGUAAAACCGCUUUUCAGCAGGGACGAAGGUUUUCUGACGGUACCUGCAGAAGAAGCACCGGCUAACUACGUGCCAGCAGCCGCGGUGAUACGUAGGGUGCGAGCGUUGUCCGGAAUUAUUGGGCGUAAAGAGCUUGUAGGCGGUCCGUUGCGUCGGAAGUGAAAACUCAGGGCUUAACCCUGAGCCUGCUUUCGAUACGGGCGGACUUGAGGGAUGUAGGGGAGAACGGAAUUCCUGGUGGAGCGGUGGAAUGCGCAGAUAUCAGGAGGAACACCAGUGGCGAAGGCGGUUCUCUGGACAUUUCCUGACGCUGAGAAGCGAAAGCGUGGGGAGCAAACAGGCUUAGAUACCCUGGUAGUCCACGCCGUAAACGGUGGCACUAGGUGUGGGACCCAUUCCACGGGUUCCGUGCCGUAGCUAACGCAUUAAGUGCCCCGCCUGGGGAGUACGGCCGCAGGGCUAAAACUCAAAGGAAUUGACGGGGUCAUAGCUGUUUUCCUG